GAUGAACGCUGGCGGCGUGCCUAACACAUGCAAGUCGAGCGGCAGCGCGGGGUGCUUGCUCCCUGUCGGCGAGCGGCGGACGGCUGAGUAACGCGUGGGAACGUGCCCCAAAGUGAGGAAUAACUGCCCGAAAGGGUAGCUAAUACCGCAUAUUAUCUUCGGAUCAAAGGAUUUAUCCGCUUUGGGAGCGGCUCGCGUCGGAUUAGGUAGUUGGUGAGGUAAUGGCUCACCAAGCCGACGAUCCGUAGCUGGUCUGAGAGGAUGACCAGCCAGACUGGAACUGAGGCACGGUCCAGACUCCUACGGGAGGCAGCAGUAAGGAAUCUUCCACAAUGGGCGAAGGCCUGAUGGAGCAACGCCGCGUGCAGGACGAAGGCCUUCGGGUUGUAAACUGCUUUUAUAAGUGAGGAAUAUGACGGUAACUUAUGGAUAAGGAUCGGCUAACUACGUG
rnacentral:rRNA from 1 species